rnacentral:rRNA from 1 species
GAUGAACGCUAGCUACAGGCUUAACACAUGCAAGUCGCGGGGCAGCAUGGGGGUUGCUUGCAAUCCCCGAUGGCGACCGGUGCACGGGUGAGUAACGCGUAUCCAACCUGCCCUUCACCACGGGAUAACCCGGCGAAAGUCGGACUAAUACCGUAUGUUGUCCAUUGACGGCAUCCGAUUUGGACGAAAGGCUUGGCGGUGAGGGAUGGGGAUGCGUCCGAUUAGCCAGACGGCGGGGUAACGGCCCACCGUGGCUACGAUCGGUAGGGGUUCUGAGAGGAAGGUCCCCCACACUGGAACUGAGACACGGUCCAGACUCCUACGGGAGGCAGCAGUGAGGAAUAUUGGUCAAUGGGCGUAAGCCUGAACCAGCCAAGUAGCGUGCAGGAUGACGGCCCUAUGGGUUGUAAACUGCCUUUAUGCGGGGAUAAAGUGGCCCACGUGUGGGCUUUUGCAGGUACCGCAUGAAUAAGGACCGGCUAAUUCCGUG